rnacentral:lncRNA from 1 species
UUGGAUUAGGGUUUGGAUUAGGGUUUAGAUUAGGAUUUAGGAUUUGGAUUAGAGUUUGGAUUAGGGUUUAGGGUUUGGUUAGGGUUUGAUUUAGGAUUUGGAUUAGGGUUUGAUUUAAUGUUUGGAUUAAAGUUUGGACUAAGUUUUGAUUAGGGUUUGAUUUAAGGUUUGGUUUAGGGUUUAGGAUUUGGAUUAGAGUUUAGGGUUGGAUUAGGGUUUGGAUUAGGAUUUGGAUUAGGAUUUAGGAUUUGGUUAGGAUUUGAUUUAGGAUUUGGUUUAGGAUUUAGGAUUUGGAAUAGGGUUUAAUUUAAGAUUUGUUUAGGAUUUGAUUUAGGGUUUAGGAAUUAUUAGGAUUUAAGAUUUAAUUAGGUUUGAUCUAAAGUUGAGUGAAAUUCAAUAGGGUUUUAACUAGAAUUAAAUUAAGGUUGAAUUGACAUAUAUUUGAGUAAAAUUUGUGAUCAUUCUAAUAUUUCUUUAAGAAUUUUAUUGUUUGUUUGAAAUUUCUUUGAGUUGUUUUGAAUUUGAUUAUGUUUGUUUACCAUUAUUAUAGUCUAAUUAGAGCAUUGUUAGUAUUCUAUUAG